rnacentral:rRNA from 1 species
CCUACGGGAGGCAGCAGUGGGGAAUAUUGGACAAUGGGGGCAACCCUGAUCCAGCCAUGCCGCGUGUGUGAAGAAGGCCCUCGGGUUGUAAAGCACUUUCAGUGAGGAAGAACGCCUGGUGGUUAAUACCCAUCAGGAAAGACAUCACUCACAGAAGAAGCACCGGCUAACUCCGUGCCAGCAGCCGCGGUAAUACGGAGGGUGCGAGCGUUAAUCGGAAUUACUGGGCGUAAAGCGCGCGUAGGUGGCUUGAUAAGCCGGUUGUGAAAGCCCCGGGCUCAACCUGGGAACGGCAUCCGGAACUGUCGAGCUAGAGUGCAGGAGAGGAAGGUAGAAUUCCCGGUGUAGCGGUGAAAUGCGUAGAGAUCGGGAGGAAUACCAGUGGCGAAGGCGGCCUUCUGGACUGACACUGACACUGAGGUGCGAAAGCGUGGGUAGCAAACAGGAUUAGAUACCCGGGUAGUC